rnacentral:tRNA from 1 species
GGGUAUUUAGUCCAACUAAGACUGCUGAUUUCGGCUCAGCAAAUUAUGGUUAAAGUCCAUAAAUGCCCU